rnacentral:rRNA from 1 species
AGGAGGCAGCAGUGGGGAAUUUUGGACAAUGGGCGAAAGCCUGAUCCAGCAACGCCGCGUGAGGGAUGAAGGCCUUAGGGUCGUAAACCUCUUUUAUGGGGGAUGAGGGCAUCCGCAAGGGUGCCGGACAGUACUCCACGAAUAAGCCACGGCUAACUACGUGCCAGCAGCCGCGGUAAUACGUAGGUGGCAAGCGUUACUCGGAAUUACUAGGUGUAAAGGGCAGGUAGGUGGUCCGGUAAGUUGAGGGUGAAAGCUCCGAUAAAAUCGGAGAGGUCCUUCAAUACUGCCGGGCUUGAGUGUGGUAGGGGGAACCAGAAUUCCCGGUGUAGCGGUGAAAUGCGUAGAUAUCGGGAGGAAUACCGAUGGCGAAAGCGGGUUCCUGGGCCAUUACUGACACUGAUCUGCGAAAGCGUGGGGAGCAAACAGGAUUAGAUACCCCGGUAGC